GCACUCAUAAUUCUUUUAGAUACAUUUCCAGAAUUAAAUAAAUUGUAUAUUUAGUUACUACAACAUAUUACAAAAGUAAACACUUCAACAUUGUGUUAUAUAUCAACGUGUUCCUUGUAUGUAUAAAGGUUAUUAUAAAGAUAUGUCUAAAAUCUAUUUUCCAAAUCUGACUGUAUUGUUAGAUAGAUAUGAGCCCACCACAUUGCCAAUGUUCACACCAUUCCAAAUACGAG
rnacentral:lncRNA from 1 species